AGGAUUAACGCUGGCGGCGUGCAUGAAACAUGCAAGUCGAGCGCGGUGUGAUGCGGGGUAACCCAAUUCACAUCUAGCGGCGAACGGGUGAGUAACACGUGAGCAACCUACCUUUGAGUUGGGGAUAGCCCUGGGAAACCAGGAUUAAUACCCGAUGUGGUCACAACAGGACAUCCUGAUGUGAGUAAAGGCGCAAGCCGCUCAAUGACGGGCUCGCGGCCUAUUAGCUUGUUGGUGGGGUAACGGCCUACCAAGGCGAUGAUGGGUAGCUGGUCUGAGAGGACGAUCAGCCACACUGGGACUGAGACACGGCCCAGACUCCUACGGGAGGCAGCAGUUAGGAAUUUUCCGCAAUGGGCGAAAGCCUGACGGAGCAACGCCGCGUGAGUGAUGAAGACCUUAGGGUUGUAAAGCUCUGUCGGAGGGGAAGAACACAAUGACGGUACCCUCCAAGAAACGCCCGGCUAACUACGCGCCAGCAGCCGCGGUAAU
rnacentral:rRNA from 1 species